UUCACUCUCAGGUCACGAGAAUGUUGUCCUUAAACAAUUUCCACCCAUCACCUGUUCUAUGUUCAGUAUGCUUCAUCUAUCCUCUCUCCAUGGAGACCUCAAAGACCAGAGCUCUGAAGGGACACAGGUGCCCUUGUAUUUGGAGCAUAGACACUCAGGAUUGAGAAUUCACUAUCAUCUGUCAUGGUCAAGUAGGCUUCAUCCCAGGGAUGCAGGGAUGGUUCAAUAUAUGGAUAUUCAUCAACAUAAUCUACUAUAUAAACAAACUCAAACUCAAAGGAAAAUAGACCAUAAUCAUCUCAUUAGAUGCUGAGCAAGCAUUUGACAAAAUUCAACACCCCUUCAUGCUAAACAUCUUGGAAAGAUCAGGAACUCAAAGCCCAUACCAGAGCAAUCAGACAAUGAAAGGAGGUCAAAGGGAUACAAAUUGGAAAGGAAGAAGUCAAAAUAUCACUAUUUGCAGAUGAUAUGGGAGUAUACCUACAUGACCCCAAAAGUUCCACCAGAGAACUACUAACACUGACGAAAAACUUCAGCAAAGAGCAAAAUGGCUGUGUAUAAAAUUAACUCAAACAAAUCAGUAGCCUUCAUCUAUUCAAAGGAUAAACAGGCUGAGAAAGAAAUUAGGGAAAGGUUACCCUUCACAGUAGUCACAAAUAAUAUAAAAUACUUAGGUGUGAUGCUAACCAAGC
rnacentral:lncRNA from 1 species